UCCGGCUAUAUCAUGUUGAAACACUGGUUCCUAUAUGAUCACGAAAGUUAAGCAACGUCGUGCCUGAUCAGUGCCUAGAUGGGUGACUGCUUCGGAAUUCCU